rnacentral:rRNA from 1 species
GACGAACGCUGGCGGCGUGCCUAAUACAUGCAAGUCGAGCGAAGCGCCUGAUGGGUGAGUAACGCGUGGGUAACCUGCUCUUAAGACUGGGAUUCCUUUUGGAAACAGAUGCUAAUACCGGAUACUAAAGGAUGGCUCAGCGAGGCAUUAGCUAGUUGGUAAGGAAACGGCUUACCAAGGCGAUGAUGCAGAGCCGAGGUGAGGGACGGAUCGGCCACAGUGGGACUGAGACACGGCCCAAACCCCUACGGGAGGCAGCAGGAGGUAAUCGUCCACAAUGGACGAAAGUCUGAUGGAGCAACGCCGCGUGAGUGAAGAAGGUUUUCGGAUCGUAAAGCUCUGUGGUUGGUGAAGCGGUAAUCAACCAGAAAGUCACGGCUAACUACGUGCCAGCAGCCGCGGUAAUUC